CCUCGGGUGGCAGCAGUGGGGAAUAUUGCACAAUGGGGGAAACCCUGAUGCAGCGACGCCGCGUGAGUGAAGAAGUAUCUCGGUACGUAAAGCUCUAUCAGCAGGGAAGAAAAUGACGGUACCUGACUAAGAAGCCCCGGCUAACUACGUGCCAGCAGCCGCGGUAAUACGUAGGGGGCAAGCGUUAUCCGGAUUUACUGGGUGUAAAGGGAGCGUAGACGGUGGGCCAAGUCUGGAGUGAAAUGCCGCAGCUUAACUGCGGAACUGCUUUGGAAACUGGCGAACUAGAGGGCGGGAGGGGGAAGCGGAAUUCCUAGUGUAGCGGUGAAAUGGGUAGAUAUUAGGAGGAACACCGGUGGCGAAGGCGGCUUACUGGACCGAAACUGACGUUGAGGCUCGAAAGCGUGGGAGCAAACAGGAUUAGAUACCCCUGUAGUC
rnacentral:rRNA from 1 species